rnacentral:rRNA from 1 species
UACGUAGGGUGCAAGCGUUAAUCGGAAUUACUGGGCGUAAAGCGUGCGCAGGCGGCUUUGCAAGACAGAUGUGAAAUCCCCGGGCUUAACCUGGGAACUGCAUUUGUGACUGCAUGGCUGGAGUGCGGCAGAGGGGGAUGGAAUUCCGCGUGUAGCAGUGAAAUGCGUAGAUAUGCGGAGGAACACCGAUGGCGAAGGCAAUCCCCUGGGCCUGCACUGACGCUCAUGCACGAAAGCGU